AGAUUUGUUAGGUGAGGCUCCUAUACAUACAUAGGCUACUGCCCAAAAACGUCCAGAGACGCCAAUGGGUAUAACAGGAAUUGUCGAACUAAGGCUUUUCAUAAUGUAGCUAACACGAAUUGUUUACGAUGUAUAGUGCUGAAACUCCACAA
rnacentral:sRNA from 1 species